UGACGGAGUUUUCGGACAACAGAUAGGAAGUCCUUAGUGGCGGACGGGUGAGUAACGCGUGAGGAACCUGCCUUGGAGAGGGGAAUAACACAGAGAAAUUUGUGCUAAUACCGCAUAAAGCAGUUGGGUCGCAUGGCUCAGACUGCCAAAGAUUCUAUCGCUCUGAGAUGGCCUCGCGUCUGAUUAGCUGGUUGGCGGGGUAACGGGCCCACCCAAGGCGACGAUCAGUAGCCGGACUGAGAGGUUGGCCGGCCACAUUGGGACUGAGACACGGCCCAGACUCCUACGGGAGGCAGCAGUGGGGAAUAUUGGGCAAUGGGCGCAAGCCUGACCCAGCAACGCCGCGUGAAGGAAGAAGGCUUUCGGGUUGUAAACUUCUUUUAUGGAGGACGAAGGAAGUGACGGUACUCCAUGAAUAAGCUCCGGCUAACUACGUGCC
rnacentral:rRNA from 1 species